rnacentral:rRNA from 1 species
ACGAACUCUGGUAUUGAUUGGUGCUUGCAUCAUGAUUUACAUCUGUGUGAGUGGCGAACUGGUGAGUAACACGUGGGAAACCUGCCCAGAAGCGGGGGAUAACACCUGGAAACAGAUGCUAAUACCGCAUAACAACUUGGACCGCAUGGUCCGAGUUUGAAAGAUGGCUUCGGCUAUCACUUUUGGAUGGUCCCGCGGCGUAUUAGCUAGAUGGUGGGGUAACGGCUCACCAUGGCAAUGAUACGUAGCCGACCUGAGAGGGUAAUCGGCCACAUUGGGACUGAGACACGGCCCAAACUCCUACGGGAGGCAGCAGUAGGGAAUCUUCCACAAUGGACGAAAGUCUGAUGGAGCAACGCCGCGUGAGUGAAGAAGGGUUUCGGCUCGUAAAACUCUGUUGUUAAAGAAGAACAUAUCUGAGAGUAACUGUUCAGGUAUUGACGGUAUUUAACCAGAAAGCCACGGCUAACUACGUGCCAGCAGCCGCGGUAAUACGUAGGUGGCAAGCGUUGUCCGGAUUUAUUGGGCGUAAAGCGAGCGCAGGCGGUUUUUUAAGUCUGAUGUGAAAGCCUUCGGCUCAACCGAAGAAGUGCAUCGGAAACUGGGAAACUUGAGUGCAGAAGAGGACAGUGGAACUCCAUGUGUAGCGGUGAAAUGCGUAGAUAUAUGGAAGAACACCAGUGGCGAAGGCGGCUGUCUGGUCUGUAACUGACGCUGAGGCUCGAAAGUAUGGGUAGCAAACAGGAUUAGAUACCCUGGUAGUCCAUACCGUAAACGAUGAAUGCUAAGUGUUGGAGGGUUUCC